AUGGAGGAGUCUCCUGCUGUGUCAACAGAAGACGAGACCAUCACCCCCAGCACCAGCCAACAGGCAGCAUCAGAGCAGUCUCUGGAAUCUCCCUCAGAGGAGAUGAGCAGCCCCAGCCUCUAUAGUUGGGUAACAUCAAGGCCAUCCCACAGCAACAUCCCAGAAACUGAGGACAGCAGCUGCUCUCGCAGUCGGAGGCCUGACCGCCGGCAAAACCGCACCCGCCGGCAAAGUCGGCCCCAAAAUCCACAGCAUCGGUCCAGAAGUCCUCAUGACAGGAGCCACGUGCCGGAACCAACUGCUGCGAGGUGCAGGCCCAGGCAGGGACAAUCAGGAACAUCCCGCAGGCCAAGACGCUCCCGCCGGCAAAGUCGUCCCCAAAAUCCACACCUUCGGUCCCCGAGUCCCUAUGACAGGAGACGUUCGCCACACCUCCGGUCCCCUAGUCCCCAUGACAGGAUUUGUUUACCACCACCAAGUCCUCGGAGGCGCAGCCGCAGCGAGGAGGCAUCAGAGACAUCCAGCAACCGAAACCGCUCCCGCCAGCAACGUCGGCCCCAAAAUCCACACCUUCGGUCCAGAAGUCGACGUCACAGGAGCCAUGUGAGAACACCAAGGGCUGGGAGCUGCACCUCCACCCAGGAAGCAUCAGAGACAUCCCGCAGCCGAAACCGCUCCCGCCAGCAACGUCGGCCGCAAAAUCCACACCUUCGGUCCAGGAGUCGCCGUGACAGAAGCCAUGUCCCAGCACCAAGUACUGGGAGACGCAGGCCCAGUCAGGAAGAAUCAGGGACAUCCCGCAGGCGAAGUAGCUCCCGCCGCCAAAGUCGGACCUCAAAUCCAUCUGGCCGCUCCAGAAGUCCCCUUGACAGGAACUGCACGCCAGCACCGAGUGCUGGCAGGCGAAACUCAAGGGAGACAGCAGCCAGGACUUCCCAAAGGGAACAGCACUCCCGCCGGCAGCGUCGGACCUCAAAUUCAUCCAACAGAUCCAGAAGUCGCCGUGAUGGGAGGCGUGAUAGAGCACCCAGUGCUGGGAGCCCCACUCACCGCUCAGACGGUGAGACAGGGACUCCCCACUGA
rnacentral:lncRNA from 1 species